UUAAGCGACUAAGCGUACACGGUGGAUGCCCUGGCAGUCAGAGGCGAUGAAGGACGUGCUAAUCUGCGAAAAGCGUCGGUAAGGUGAUAUGAACCGUUAUAGCCGGCGAUGUCCGAAUGGGGAAACCCAGUGCAAUUCGUUGCACUAUCGUUAACUGAAUACAUAGGUUAACGAGGCGAACCGGGGGAACUGAAACAUCUAAGUACCCCGAGGAAAAGAAAUCAACCGAGAUUCCCCCAGUAGCGGCGAGCGAACGGGGAGCAGCCCAGAGUCUGAAUCAGCUUGUGUGUUAGUGGAACGGUCUGGAAAGUCCGACGGUACAGGGUGAUAGUCCCGUACACCAAAAUGCACAGGCUGUGAACUCGAAGAGUAGGGCGGGACACGUGGUAUCCUGUCUGAAUAUGGGGGGACCAUCCUCCAAGGCUAAAUACUCCUGACUGACCGAUAGUGAACCAGUACCGUGAGGGAAAGGCGAAAAGAACCCCGGCGAGGGGAGUGAAAAAGAACCUGAAACCGUGUACGUACAAGCAGUGGGAGCACCUUCGGGUGUGACUGCGUACCUUUUGUAUAAUGGGUCAGCGACUUAUAUUCUGUAGCAAGGUUAACCGUAUAGGGGAGCCGCAGGGAAACCGAGUCUUAACUGGGCGUUAAGUUGCAGGGUAUAGACCCGAAACCCGGUGAUCUAGCCAUGGGCAGGUUGAAGGUUGGGUAACACUAACUGGAGGACCGAACCGACUAAUGUUGAAAAAUUAGCGGAUGACUUGUGGCUGGGGGUGAAAGGCCAAUCAAACCGGGAGAUAGCUGGUUCUCCCCGAAAGCUAUUUAGGUAGCGCCUCGUGAAUUCAUCUUCGGGGGUAGAGCACUGUUUCGGCUAGGGGGUCAUCCCGACUUACCAACCCGAUGCAAACUACGAAUACCGAAGAAUGUUAUCACGGGAGACACACGGCGGGUGCUAACGUCCGUCGUGAAGAGGGAAACAACCCAGACCGCCAGCUAAGGUCCCAAAGUCAUGGUUAAGUGGGAAACGAUGUGGGAAGGCACAGACAGCCAGGAUGUUGGCUUAGAAGCAGCCAUCAUUUAAAGAAAGCGUAAUAGCUCACUGGUCGAGUCGGCCUGCGCGGAAGAUGUAACGGGGCUAAACCAUGCACCGAAGCUGCGGCAGCGACACUAUGUGUUGUUGGGUAGGGGAGCGUUCUGUAAGCCUGCGAAGGUGACCUGUGAGGGUUGCUGGAGGUAUCAGAAGUGCGAAUGCUGACAUAAGUAACGAUAAAGCGGGUGAAAAGCCCGCUCGCCGGAAGACCAAGGGUUCCUGUCCAACGUUAAUCGGGGCAGGGUGAGUCGACCCCUAAGGCGAGGCCGAAAGGCGUAGUCGAUGGGAAACAGGUUAAUAUUCCUGUACUUGGUGUUACUGCGAAGGGGGGACGGAGAAGGCUAUGUUAGCCGGGCGACGGUUGUCCCGGUUUAAGCAUGUAGGCUGGUUGUCCAGGCAAAUCCGGAUAAUCAAGGCUGAGGUGUGAUGACGAGGCACUACGGUGCUGAAGUAACAAAUGCCCUGCUUCCAGGAAAAGCCUCUAAGCAUCAGGUAACAUUAAAUCGUACCCCAAACCGACACAGGUGGUCAGGUAGAGAAUACCAAGGCGCUUGAGAGAACUCGGGUGAAGGAACUAGGCAAAAUGGUGCCGUAACUUCGGGAGAAGGCACGCUGGUGUGUAGGUGAAGUCCCUGCGGAUGGAGCUGAGACCAGUCGAAGAUACCAGCUGGCUGCAACUGUUUAUUAAAAACACAGCACUGUGCAAACACGAAAGUGGACGUAUACGGUGUGACGCCUGCCCGGUGCCGGAAGGUUAAUUGAUGGGGUUAUCCGUAAGGAGAAGCUCUUGAUCGAAGCCCCGGUAAACGGCGGCCGUAACUAUAACGGUCCUAAGGUAGCGAAAUUCCUUGUCGGGUAAGUUCCGACCUGCACGAAUGGCGUAAUGAUGGCCAGGCUGUCUCCACCCGAGACUCAGUGAAAUUGAACUCGCUGUGAAGAUGCAGUGUACCCGCGGCAAGACGGAAAGACCCCGUGAACCUUUACUAUAGCUUGACACUGAACAUUGAGCCUUGAUGUGUAGGAUAGGUGGGAGGCUUUGAAGCGUGGACGCCAGUCUGCGUGGAGCCAACCUUGAAAUACCACCCUUUAAUGUUUGAUGUUCUAACGUUGGCCCCUUACCGGGGUUGCGGACAGUGUCUGGUGGGUAGUUUGACUGGGGCGGUCUCCUCCCAAAGCGUAACGGAGGAGCACGAAGGUUAGCUAAUCCUGGUCGGACAUCAGGAGGUUAGUGCAAUGGCAUAAGCUAGCUUGACUGCGAGCGUGACGGCGCGAGCAGGUGCGAAAGCAGGUCAUAGUGAUCCGGUGGUUCUGAAUGGAAGGGCCAUCGCUCAACGGAUAAAAGGUACUCCGGGGAUAACAGGCUGAUACCGCCCAAGAGUUCAUAUCGACGGCGGUGUUUGGCACCUCGAUGUCGGCUCAUCACAUCCUGGGGCUGAAGUAGGUCCCAAGGGUAUGGCUGUUCGCCAUUUAAAGUGGUACGCGAGCUGGGUUUAGAACGUCGUGAGACAGUUCGGUCCCUAUCUGCCGUGGGCGCUGGAGAAUUGAGGGGGGCUGCUCCUAGUACGAGAGGACCGGAGUGGACGCAUCACUGGUGUUCGGGUUGUCAUGCCAAUGGCACUGCCCGGUAGCUAAAUGCGGAAGAGAUAAGUGCUGAAAGCAUCUAAGCACGAAACUUGCCCCGAGAUGAGUUCUCCCUGAGACUUUAAGUCUCCUGAAGGAACGUUAAAGACGAUGACGUUGAUAGGCCGGGUGUGUAAGCGCAGCGAUGCGUUGAGCUAACCGGUACUAAUGAACCGUGAGGCUUAACCUU
rnacentral:rRNA from 1 species